rnacentral:rRNA from 1 species
AACUUCUCGUUAGAUCACCGAAGUUAAGCAUCAUUGGGCGCGGUCAGUGCUUGGGUGGGUGACCACCUGGGAACACUGCGUGCCGUU